rnacentral:tRNA from 1 species
UACUUUAUUAGUAUAAAUAGUACAUUUAACUUCCAAUUAAAAAGUUUUUUUAAAAUAAAGUAA